UACGUAGGGUGCGAGCGUUAAUCGGAAUUACUGGGCGUAAAGCGUGCGCAGGCGGUUUUGUAAGCCAGAUGUGAAAUCCCCGGGCUUAACCUGGGAAUGGCAUUUGGGACUGCAAGGCUGGAGUGUGGCAGAGGAGACUGGAAUUCCUGGUGUAGCAGUGAAAUGCGUAGAUAUCAGGAGGAACACCGAUGGCGAAGGCAGGUCUCUGGGCUGACACUGACGCUCAUGCACGAAAGCGUGGGGAGCAAACAAGGG
rnacentral:rRNA from 1 species